rnacentral:tRNA from 1 species
GCCCUGGUGGCACAGUGGUUAAAUGCCUGUACUGCAGCCAUAAACUCAUAGACCACAAGGUUGCGAGUUCAAUACUAGCCAGGGCU